rnacentral:snRNA from 13 species
AGCUUUGCGCAGUGGCAGUAUCGUAGCCAAUGAGGUUUAUCCGAGGCGCGAUUAUUGCUAAUUGUAUUACCAUGUGCCAACAGCACUACUCUAAACCUUCUCUGUGUAUGAACUCAUUUAAUUCUAGCCAGUUUUGAGCUACACAGAU